rnacentral:snRNA from 1 species
CAGCCAUGUAGCAAGCACAAAACCAACUAUUCUUUCGCCUUUUACUAAAGAAUACCCUGUGCUCGUUACAUUAAAUGGCAUACAAACUACUGUUGAAGAGCAUCUUCUGUUAGAAGGGAU